UUGUGUUUUCAUUGUAUCAGCUUGUUCCACACAACACCAUUGCUAACUCCCAAAAAAUCCAUUUAAAUUUAUUUCCCACUUUCCAUAUCACACCCAUAAAGUGUGGUAGAUCAAAGAGAAUUGGACAGGUAGGAGGACGAGGACGUUGAAUGCCAUAACGCUUUCUGUGAUUGCUGUGAUGGCGUGUUUGUAAUGAUCAUUAUUGUGAACACAUUACAGUCUUGGAUUUGUGUUUAAUCACCUAUCAUGUCCCUUUUUGUUGUUUUUCUCUUGACAAAAUACAUUUUUUCACACUUUAUGUUUUAUUUCAGCUGAGGAUGCUUUUGCUAAAUGGACAAAUAAACAAGGAGCUGUCCAACAACAAGUGUGGAAGUGGAUCUGUAAAGCAGCAGCUAAUGUCAUUCUGGACCCCAGAAC